rnacentral:rRNA from 1 species
UGGUGGGGUGACUUGUCUGCUUAAUUGCGAUAACGAACGAGACCUUAACCUGCUAAAUAGCCCGCAUUGCUCCGGCAGUGCGCGGGCUUCUUAGAGGGACUUUCGGCUCAAGCCGAAGGAAGUUUGAGGCAAUAACA